CUGGAAUCCAUUCUGAAGAGCCUGAGCUGCAGUCCAUCGCAGUAGAACACAUUAGGAAGAACAUCGUCUGAAGUUCAUUUACAGACUCGCAAUGAAGGGCCUAAUUUCUCUCUGUCACAGCCAUCUGAUCUGCAAAAUGAAGUAAUUCACCUUCUGAGCUCUGCCACGGAGGGGAUGGAAUGAAACAAGGGGCAUCUGGACCAACUACAACCAUACAGUGAGAUUCUUCAGUUUGGUUUUCUUCCCUUGUAUGUACAGGAGAAAGAUAGUAACAGAAAUAAAAUGCAAAUACCUGCUUGGCGUAUAUCACCAAAAAUAAAGCUCUAGAAGGGCAGGAUGCUGCCGACUGAUGCUGGAGUGUCUUAUGCACUGUGUGGCCCUUUGCUCUGGGCCAGGCUAAUCCUGUAAGUCUUCUGCCUAUGCUGUUGGAGGAAACGGAGGUCUCCUC